rnacentral:rRNA from 1 species
UACACACCGCCCGUCACACCAUGGAAGUCAGCCGUACCGGAAGUCGCCUUUCCAACCCGCAAGGGAGGUAAGCGCCUAUGGUAUGACUGGUGACUGGGGUG